UACGUAGGGUGCAAGCGUUGUCCGGAAUUAUUGGGCGUAAAGAGCUCGUAGGCGGUCUGUCACGUCGGCUGUGAAAACCCGAGGCUCAACCUCGGGCCUGCAGUCGAUACGGGCAAACUAGAGUACUGCAGGGGAGACUGGAAUUCCUGGUGUAGCGGUGAAAUGCGCAGAUAUCAGGAGGAACACCGGUGGCGAAGGCGGGUCUCUGGGCAGUAACUGACGCUGGAGGAGCGAAAGCAUGGGGAGCGAACAGGA
rnacentral:rRNA from 1 species